rnacentral:rRNA from 1 species
UACGGAGGGGGCGAGCGUUAUUCGGAAUUAUUGGGCGUAAAGGGCGCGUAGGCGGCUUGGCAAGUCAAAGGUGAAAUCCCUCGGCUCAACUGAGGAACUGCCUUUGAAACUGCCUGGCUUGAGGCCGGGAGGGGGUAGCGGAAUUCCCAGUGUAGCGGUGAAAUGCGUAGAUAUUGGGAAGAACACCAGUGGCGAAGGCGGCUACCUGGACCGGUUCUGACGCUGAUGCGCGAAAGCGUGGGUAGCAAACAGG